GACGUCGAAUAUCGAAGUCAUAAACACCAAAGUUGAUCGUGUUUAUGACGUCGAAUACAUAAACACCAAAGUUGUUCGUGUUUUUGACGUCGAAUAUCGACGUCAUAAACACCAAAGUUGAUGGUGUUUACGACGUCGAAUAUCGACGUCAUAAACACCAAAGUUGUUCGUGUUUAUGACGUCGAAUAUCGACGUCAUAAACACCAAAGUUGUUCGUGUUUAUGACGUCGAAUAUCGACGUCAUGAACACCAAAGUUGUUCGUGUUUAUGACGUCGAAUAUCGACGUC